ensembl:piRNA 21ur-8766 ncRNA
UCUCGUAGGAAAAAGCGGUUU